rnacentral:pre_miRNA from 1 species
AAAAAGACAAACCCUUGGUUUCCGUGUCCAACUUUAUCUGUCUAUUUUAUAUGAAUUUUUUUAUAAUUUGUAUUUUUAUUGUUGUUAGAUGAUAAAACAUGAUUAAUACUUUGUGCGUGACUUAUCUUUUUAAUUUUUUCAUAAAUUUUUUAAAUAAGACGGACGGUCAAACGUUGGACACGGAAACCAGGGUUUGCUUUUUUU